UUACUACUACGCUGCGGCAGCUAACCAUCAAUGUAGAGCGGAUGAUGGGAGCUCGCUCCUUUAUUCAGCGGCGGACGGGUGAGUAAUGCCUAGGAAUCUGCCUGGUAGUGGGGGACAACGUUUCGAAAGGAACGCUAAUACCGCAUACGUCCUACGGGAGAAAGCAGUGGACCUUCGGGCCUUGCGCUAUCAGAUGAGCCUAGGUCGGAUUAGCUAGUUGGUGGGGUAAUGGCUCACCAAGGCGACGAUCCGUAAACUGGUCUGAGAGGAUGAUCAGGUCACACUGGGAACUUGAGAACACAGUCCAA
rnacentral:rRNA from 1 species